UCCUGCUCCCUGGGUUGGGGCCCAUGUCCAGUAUGGAUGUGAGGACAUCAGUGAUGCUUUUUGUGGUUUUUUUUUUUUGGGUAACAGAAACGGGCUGUAAAGGCAGAAAACCACGUCGUGAAACUGAAACAGGAAAUCAGUUUGCUCCAGGUGCAGGUCUCCAACUUCCAGCGAGAGAAUGAAGCCCUGCGGUGCGGCCAGGGCGCCAGUCUUACCGUGGUGAAGCAGAACGCCGACGUGGCCUUGCAGAACCUCCGGGUGGUCAUGAACAGCGCACAGGCUUCCAUUAAGCAACUGGUUUCCGGAGCUGAGACACUGAAUGUUGUUGCCGAAAUCCUUAAAUCUAUAGACAGAAUUUCUGAAAUUAAAGACGAGGAGGAAGACUCUUGAGGACCCCUGGGUGUUCUCAGCAUGAAGCUCCGUGUAUGCCCUGAGGUCACCACCGCUUGAUCUAAAUGUGCAGUUGUGUCCUUAAAUAUGCAGUCUUCACACAGAG
rnacentral:sRNA from 1 species